rnacentral:rRNA from 1 species
UACGUAGGGGGCAAGCGUUGUCCGGAAUUAUUGGGCGUAAAGCGCGCGCAGGCGGUCAAUUAAGUCUGGUGUAUAAACCAAGGGCUCAACCUUUGGACGCAUUGGAAACUGGUUGACUGGAGUGUAGGAGAGGAAAGUGGAAUUCCACGUGUAGCGGUGAAAUGCGUAGAGAUGUGGAGGAACACCAGUGGCGAAGGCAGCUCGCUGGGACGGUACUGACGCUGAGACGCGAAAGCGUGGGGAGCAAACAGG